ACACACCCUGAUGUAGCCUUGUUGAGUGUUUCAGAGCUGAAGCUGUGAAUGAAUUUCCUCAUGUGAACAAAUAAAGGAAAUCUGUACCUGAGUCAAAACAUCAAAGAUCCCCCACCAUAUUUUACAGUAGGGGUGAGGUGUUUUCUGCAUAUGUGUUGUUUCGGGAGGCCAAACCCACCAUCUGACCAUACUACUGCCUGGAGUUUGCUAAUUGGCUUUGACACUUGUAUUGUUGCUAUGGUUAUAUGACAUGAAAAUAGAGCUCUGGCCACACUGCAGCAGUGGCUUUGGCCUUCGAAAGAAC
ensembl:lncRNA